rnacentral:rRNA from 1 species
GACGAACGCUGGCGGCGUGCCUAAUACAUGCAAGUAGUACGCAGUUGCGAACGGGUGAGUAACGCGUAAGUAACUACCUAUAAGAGGGGGAUAACUAUUGGAAACGAUAGCUAAUACCGCAUACUAGUAGAUGGACCUGAGUUGUAUUAGCUAGUAGGUAGGGUAAUGGCCUACCUAGGCAAUGAUACAUAGCCGACCUGGUAGGGUGGUCGGCCAUGAUGGGAAUGAGAAAAGGCCCAGAAUCCUACGGGAGGCAGCAGUUGGGCAUCGUCGGCAAUGGGGGGAACCAUGACCGAGGAACGCCGGUGGAGUGAAGAAGGGUUUCGGAUAGUUAAGCUCUGUUGUUAAGGAAGCGGUAAUUAACCAGAAAGGGACGGCUAACUACGUGCCAGCAGCCGCGGUAAUUC